AAUGGAAGGAGAGAAAGGGAAAGAGGUGAGGAAGAAGGCAAUGGAGAUUUCAGAGAUGGCGAAGAAAGCUAUGUGGGAAAAUGGGUCGUCAUGGAGGACUUUGGAACUAUUCGUUCAAGAAAUGUGCAGCAAAUCAUUGCCGCCACAUACAAAUUCGCCAACAUCAAUGGACGUGGAGUGAAUUACGUAUAAGAAACCAUCGCCCAACGACCUAUGGUUACUAUGUUCGUCGGUGUAUUUAAUUUGAAACAUUAAUGUUACUUAAGUGUUUAAUCGCAUAUACAUAGUGGAGCUGAGAUGUACGUAAGUAUUUUUCAAAUUUUUUAGAUUAAU
rnacentral:misc_RNA from 1 species